AACAGAAGGAAUAAACCUUCAAACGAUCAAAAUACUAAUAACAAGCAUAAUCAAGAUUUCAGUAUGAAAAAUAACCUUGCAGCACCAAACGGCAUUGGGAAAGAGUCUUCUUAUGGUAAUGAUCCUGAUUAUAGGCAUAAUCAAGAUUUCAGUACGGAGUAUAACCUUGAAGCACCAAAAGGCAGAAGGGAACAGUCUUUUUAUGAUAAUGUUCCUGAAUGUAGGCAUA